CGUCUACUCCCUCCGUUCGGAAUUACUUGUCGCGAAAAUAGUGUAUCUAGACGUAUUUUAGUUCUAGAUACAUCCAUAUUCGAGACAAGUAAUUCCAAACGAAGAGAGUAGAUA
rfam:Triticum urartu cultivar G1812 contig1087284, whole genome shotgun sequence.